UACGUAGGGUGCAAGCGUUAAUCGGAAUUACUGGGCGUAAAGCGUGCGUAGGUGGUUCGUUAAGUCUGAUGUGAAAGCCCUGGGCUCAACCUGGGAAUGGCAUUGGAAACUGGCGACCUAGAGUGCGGUAGAGGGUAGUGGAAUUCCCGGUGUAGCAGUGAAAUGCGUAGAGAUCGGGGAGGAACAUCUGUGGCGAAGGCGACUGCCUGGACCAGCACUGACACUGAGGCACGAAAGCUAGGGGAGCAAACAGG
rnacentral:rRNA from 1 species